ACCCGCUGAACUUAAGCAUAUCAAUAAGCGGAGGAAAAGAAACCAACAGGGAUUGCCCUAGUAACGGCGAGUGAAGCGGCAACAGCUCAAAUUUGAAAUCUGGCUCUUUUAGAGUCCGAGUUGUAAUUUGCAGAGGGCGCUUUGGCUUUGGCAGCGGUCCAAGUUCCUUGGAACAGGACGUCACAGAGGGUGAGAAUCCCGUACGUGGUCGCUGGCUAUUGCCGUGUAAAGCCCCUUCGACGAGUCGAGUUGUUUGGGAAUGCAGCUCUAAAUGGGAGGUACAUUUCUUCUAAAGCUAAAUAUUGGCCAGAGACCGAUAGCGCACAAGUAGAGUGAUCGAAAGAUGAAAAGCACUUUGGAAAGAGAGUCAAACAGCACGUGAAAUUGUUGAAAGGGAAGCGCUUGCAGCCAGACUUGCUUACAGUUGCUCAUCCGGGCUUUUGCCCGGUGCACUCUUCUGUAGGCAGGCCAGCAUCGGUUUGGGCGGUAGGAUAAAGGUCUCUGUCACGUACCUCUCUUCGGGGAGGCCUUAUAGGGGAGACGACAUACUACCAGCCUGGACUGAGGUCCGCGCAUCUGCUAGGAUGCUGGCGUAAUGGCUGU
rnacentral:rRNA from 1 species